UACAUGCAGUCGUACGCUAGCCGCUGAAUUGAUCCUUCGGGUGAAGUGAGGCAAUGACUAGAGUGGCGAACUGGUGAGUAACACGUAAGAAACCUGCCCUUUAGUGGGGGAUAACAUUUGGAAACAGAUGCUAAUACCGCGUAACAACAAAUCACACAUGUGAUCUGUUUGAAAGGUCCUUUUGGAUCGCUAGAGGAUGGUCUUGCGGCGUAUUAGCUUGUUGGUAGGGUAGAAGCCUACCAAGGCAAUGAUGCGUAGCCGAGUUGAGAGACUGGCCGGCCACAUUGGGACUGAGACACUGCCCAAACUCCUACGGGAGGCUGCAGUAGGGAAUUUUCCGCAAUGCACGAAAGUGUGACGGAGCGACGCCGCGUGUGUGAUGAAGGCUUUCGGGUCGUAAAGCACUGUUGUAAGGGAAGAAUAACUGAAUUCAGAGAAAGUUUUCAGCUUGACGGUACCUUACCAGAAAGGGAUGGCUAAAUACGUGCCAGCAGCCGCGGUAAUACGUAUGUCCCGAGCGUUAUCCGGAUUUAUUGGGCGUAAAGCGAGCGCAGACGGUUUAUUAAGUCUGAUGUGAAAUCCCGAGGCCCAACCUCGGAACUGCAUUGGAAACUGAUUUACUUGAGUGCGAUAGAGGCAAGUGGAACUCC
rnacentral:rRNA from 1 species